GAUGAACGCUGGCGGCGUGCCUAAUACAUGCAAGUCGAGCGAACGGACGAGAAGCUUGCUUCUCUGAUGUUAGCGGCGGACGGGUGAGUAACACGUGGAUAACCUACCUAUAAGACUGGGAUAACUUCGGGAAACCGGAGCUAAUACCGGAUAAUAUUUUGAACCGCAUGGUUCAAAAGUGAAAGACGGUCUUGCUGUCACUUAUAGAUGGAUCCGCGCUGCAUUAGCUAGUUGGUAAGGUAACGGCUUACCAAGGCAACGAUGCAUAGCCGACCUGAGAGGGUGGUCGGCCACACUGGAACUGAGACACGGUCCAGACUCCUACGGGAGGCAGCAGUAGGGAAUCUUCCGCAAUGGGCGAAAGCCUGACGGAGCAACGCCGCGUGAGUGAUGAAGGUCUUCGGAGCGUAAAACUCUGUUAUUAGGGAAGAACAUAUGUGUAAGUAACUGUGCACAUCUUGACGGUACCUAAUCAGAAAGCCACGGCUAACUACGUG
rnacentral:rRNA from 1 species